rnacentral:rRNA from 1 species
CUGACGAGUUUGAUCCUGGCUCAGAACGAACGCUGGCGGCAGGCCUAACACAUGCAAGUCGAGCGAGGACUUCGGUCCUAGCGGCGGACGGGUGAGUAACGCGUGGGAACGUGCCCUUUGGUACGGAAUAGCCCCGGGAAACUGGGAGUAAUACCGUAUGGUGUCUUCGGACUAAAGAUUUAUCGCCAAAGGAUCGGCCCGCGUUGGAUUAGGUAGUUGGUGGGGUAAUGGCCUACCAAGCCGACGAUCCAUAGCUGGUUUGAGAGGAUGAUCAGCCACACUGGGACUGAGACACGGCCCAGACUCCUACGGGAGGCAGCAGUGGGGAAUCUUAGACAAUGGGGGCAACCCUGAUCUAGCCAUGCCGCGUGAGUGAUGAAGGCCCUAGGGUUGUAAAGCUCUUUCAGCUGGGAAGAUAAUGACGGUACCAGCAGAAGAAGCCCCGGCUAACUCCGUG